GAGUUUGAUCGUGGCUCAGAUUGAACGCUGGCGGAAUGCUUUACACAUGCAAGUCGAGCGGCAGCGCGGGGCAACCUGGCGGCGAGCGGCGAACGGGUGAGUAAUGCAUCGGAACAUGUCCAUGUCGUGGGGGAUAGCCCGGCGAAAGCCGGAUUAAUACCGCAUACGCCCGAGAGGGGAAAGCCGGGGACCGCAAGGCCUGGCGCGAUUGGGUUGGCCGAUGUCCGAUUAGCUAGUUGGCGGGGUAAGAGCCCACCAAGGCGAUGAUCGGUAGCUGGUCUGAGAGGAUGAUCAGCCACACUGGGACUGAGACACGGCCCAGACUCCUACGGGAGGCAGCAGUGGGGAAUUUUGGACAAUGGGGGCAACCCUGAUCCAGCCAUUCCGCGUGAGUGAAGAAGGCCUUCGGUUGUAAGCUCUUU
rnacentral:rRNA from 1 species